GUUGAAAAGUUAAACAACCUUAUGAUAUAUCAUCUCUGCAACAUAAACAAGUUCAUUGAGUCUCUGGGAAGUGAAAUGACUUCCCUCAGUAAAAUAGGACAGUAGAAAUUGAAUUGAGGAAGAAAAUCUAUUUUAUGAAAAAAUCCUUGAUCUCCCACUGGGAGUCCCAGAGAAAGAAGCACGAGAUUGCGAUGGCCUGGAGUACCUUGUUUAUGGCAGUAUCCAACGAGCGAGAUUUUGCAUGUCUACAUAUGGUGCAAGUCUUGUUUUAAUUCAACCCUUGGGACAUCAAUCCAAUAAUGCUGCCAAAAUACACUCUGUGAAGGGUUGGAAAUGGCAGAUGACAAGGUCCUGGGAAAAGGCAGAACCUGAGUCAUUGAAUCACCAUGUGAAAGACAGCCUUUCAGCCAGAAAUGUCUAUUUUGUAUCUUUGUGUGAAUAAGAAAUAAACUGCUGCAUUUAUGUCGUUAA